UACGUAGGGGGCUAGCGUUGUCCGGAAUCAUUGGGCGUAAAGAGCGUGUAGGCGGCCCGGUAAGUCCGCUGUGAAAGUCGGGGGGCUCAACCCUCGGAUGCCGGUGGAGUACUGUCGGGCUCGAGUACGGAAGAGGCGAGUGGAAUUCCUGGUGUAGCGGUGAAAUGCGCAGAUAUCAGGAGGAACACCUAUUGCGAAGGCAGCUCGCUGGGACGUUACUGACGCUGAGACGCGAAAGCGUGGGGAGCAAACAGG
rnacentral:rRNA from 1 species